CAGCAGUAGGGAAUCUUCCACAAUGAGCGAAAGCUUGAUGGAGCGACACAGCGUGCAGGAUGAAGGUUUUCGAAUUGUAAACUGCUGUUAUAGGGGAAGAAAAACUUGGAUAGGAAAUGAUCCAAACUUGACGGUACCUUAUUAGAAAGUGACGGCUAACUAUGUGCCAGCAGCCGCGGUAAUACAUAGGUCACAAGCGUUAUCCGGAAUUAUUGGGCGUUAAGCGUUCGUAGGCGGUUUGUUAAGUCUGGAGUUAAAGACUGGGGCUCAACCCCAGCCCGCUCUGGAUACUGGCUGACUAGAGUUACAUAGAGGUAAGUGGAAUUCUUAGUGGAGCGGUGGAAUGCGUAGAUAUUAGGAAGAACACCAAUGGCGAAGGCAGCUUACUGGAUGUACACUGACGCUCAGGGACGAAAGCGUGGGGAGCAAACAGGAUUAGAUACCCUGGUAGUCCACGCCGUAAACGAUGAUCAUUAGCCGCUAGAAUAUUUAGUGGCGCAGCUAACGCAUUAAAUGAUCCGCCUGAGUAGUAUGCUCGCAAGAGUGAAACUUAAAGGAAUUGACGGGGACCCGCACAAGCGGUGGAGCAUGUGGUUUAAUUUGAAGAUACGCGUAGAACCUUACCCACUCUUGACAUCUUCCGCAAUACUAUGGAGACAUAGUGGAGGUUAACGGAAUGACAGAUGGUGCAUGGUUGUCGUCAGCUCGUGCCGUGAGGUGUUAGGUUAAGUCCUGCAACGAGCGCAACCCCUGUCUUUAGUUACUAACGGAUAAUGCCGAGGACUCUAGAGAGACUGACUGGGUAACCAGUAGGAAGGUGGGGACGACGUCAAAUCAUCAUGCCUCUUACGAGUGGGGCAACACACGUGCUACAAUGGACGGUACAAAGAGAAGCAAUAUGGUGACAUGGAGCAAACCUCAAAAACCGUUCUCAGUUCGGAUUGAAGUCUGAAACUCGACUUCAUGAAGUUGGAAUCGCUAGUAAUCGUAGAUCAGCUACGCUACGGUGAAUACGUUCUCGGGUCUUGUAC
rnacentral:rRNA from 1 species